CAAUGUCCAUUUUACAAUAUUGGAAGUGUUGUUAUUUAUUUACUGUAUUUGUUUUUAAUUUAUCGUAAUUUAGUUGCUACUGCGAUCUCUAAACAGAAUGCAUAUAUGUUAGAUUCUAUGAUUUGUUGGAAUGUGAUCCUUAUUUUUCCGAUUUAGUUUUGUAUUUUCCAUUGUUUUAACUUGUCUAUGUUGUCCAGAAUCGACCCUUCAUUUGGUGUUGAGGCUUAGGGGGGGAGCCAGGAUCUGUUACGGAGUUGAACCUUCUUUGAUUGCUUUGGCUAAUAAGUAUAUCCAAAACAAGAAAAUUUGCCGCAAGUAUAGAGGUGUUAUGCUCGUCUCCCACCAAGGGCUAUGAACUGCAGGAAGAAGAAGUGUGGCCACAACAACCAACUGAGGCUGAAGAAAGUUCCGAGCCCAUGGCAUUGAAGACAUAUGUUUGUUUUGCAUAAAGAAUUUGUCUAAUUUAUCUUAGAACAUGUGCAUUCUUGUUCAGUAAACUUACUGGAUCGUUUGUUUAGUUUAAGAAGCACUAUUGUUUUAGAAGUGGUGCAUUGCAUUCGCUGUUA